AUGGGAACGCGAAGAACCUUACCUAGACUUGACAUCCCCUGAAUAACGUAGAGAUACGCGAAGCCCUUCGGGGUCGAGGAGACAGGUGGUGCAUGGUUGUCGUCAGCUCGUGUCGUGAGAUGUUGGGUUAAGUCCCGCAACGAGCGCAACCCUUAUCAUUAGUUGCUACCAUUUAGUUGAGCACUCUAGUGAGACUGCCCGGGUUAACCGGGAGGAAGGCGGGGAUGACGUCAAAUCAUCAUGCCCCUUAUGUCUAGGGCUACACACGUGCUACAAUGGUGAGAACAACGAGAUGCAAUACCGCGAGGUGGAGCAAAACUUCAAAACUCAUCUCAGUUCGGAUUGUAGGCUGAAACUCGCCUACAUGAAGUUGGAGUUGCUAGUAAUCGCGAAUCAGAAUGUCGCGGUGAAUACGUUCCCGGGUCUUGUACACACCG
rnacentral:rRNA from 1 species